UCAGUGAUUGUGUGCAUUUGUGAUGACACCGAUGAAUGAUACAACACAAAAAAGCUUCAGUCUGUUUGGCCCCUUUAAGCAGAAAUUCAAUCGUCUGUAUAAAAGUGAGAAGGAACACAAGGAGCGUGAGAACUACUUUAUACAUACUCAACGGUUUGUGCACUCUAGAAACAGAGCCGGUCUUACAUAUAGUGUCGGUAUCAAUAACUUCGCUGAUUGGUCAAAGGCAGAGCUGGCCAGGAUGACAGGAGGUAUUCCAAAUAA